AAAAUCCGUCGAUUUUAAAUCAUCAGUGUUCAAGUCCCUAUAUCCCCA
rnacentral:tRNA from 1 species